UGGGGAAUAUUGGACAAUGGGCGAAAGCCUGAUCCAGCAAUGCCGCGUGUGUGAAGAAGGUCUUCGGAUUGUAAAGCACUUUCGACGGGGACGAUGAUGACGGUACCCGUAGAAGAAGCCCCGGCUAACUUCGUGCCAGCAGCCGCGGUAAUACGAAGGGGGCUAGCGUUGCUCGGAAUGACUGGGCGUAAAGGGCGCGUAGGCGGAUCACGCAGUCAGAUGUGAAAUUCCUGGGCUUAACCUGGGGGCUGCAUUUGAGACGCGUGGUCUAGAGUGUGAAAGAGGGUCGUGGAAUUCCCAGUGUAGAGGUGAAAUUCGUAGAUAUUGGGAAGAACACCGGUGGCGAAGGCGGCGACCUGGUUCAUUACUGACGCUGAGGCGCGAAAGCGUGGGGAGCAAACA
rnacentral:rRNA from 1 species